rnacentral:pre_miRNA from 1 species
AUCCAUUGCCCUACUAUUCGCAUCUCAUCACUUCCUCCAAUAAUAUAAGGAUGAGAUCGUUCAGUACGGCAAUGGAA